UACGAAGGGGGCUAGCGUUGCUCGGAAUCACUGGGCGUAAAGCGCACGUAGGCGGCUUCUUAAGUCAGGGGUGAAAUCCUGGAGCUCAACUCCAGAACUGCCUUUGAUACUGAGGAGCUUGAGUCCGGGAGAGGUGAGUGGAACUGCGAGUGUAGAGGUGAAAUUCGUAGAUAUUCGCAAGAACACCAGUGGCGAAGGCGGCUCACUGGCCCGGUACUGACGCUGAGGUGACGAAAGCGGUGGGGAGCAAACAGG
rnacentral:rRNA from 1 species